rnacentral:miRNA from 1 species
GACGUCGAUAUUCGACGUCAUAAACACGAACAACUUUGGUGUUUAUGACGUCGAUAUUCGACGUCAUAAACACGAUCAACUUUGGUGUUUAUGACGUCGAUAUUCGACGUCAUAAACACGAUGAACUUUGGUGUUUAUGACGUCGAUAUUCGACGUCAUAAACACGAUCAACUUUGGUGUUUAUGACGUCGAUAUUCGACGUC